GUCCCGACACACCACCCCACUCGUCUCAUCUGUGUUCUCCCAGACGUACACACACACACACACACACAGCUUCAAACACCGUGAGAGCUGUGGCAGGUGAGGUAUAGGGGCUGUCUUCCCUGGCAGUUGCAGUUGACAGCGUGUGACAGCGAACUAUAUACCCUGAUACAGCGCCCAGAGACCUGACACACUCAUGAUUGAUCUUAUCAUACCACAGUUAUCAUGAGACAAUUUUUUUAGUUUCAGUGAGAAUGAAAAAUAUUGAGUGAUUUAUAGUCUUCAUGUUACCAGUUUUGUGUUAGUGUCGUGAAGUGUUAUAAAUUUUUCACGAGAAAAAGAAUAUUUCUCUUUACUGAAUGUAAUAAACGUUUCCUCCUAAACAAAAUACACAAUUACUGUAGUAAAAUACGACGAAUCGUGACUACUGAGAAGGUUAAUCACCUAAUCUGACACAUUCUUAAGUCCAAGAAACUCGACAGUACACUCUACUGAGGCCCUUCGAAUACUGAGUAUCAUCGUAACUUGAGCUCUCGGCUGAAAUCGGUCAAGAUGGGCGGGAUAUUAGGAAAACACGGCUCGUUCAUUAUUGAUCACACCAUGGACGAGAUUCCCCUCCACAAAAUGACGGGAUCUCUGAGUCACGGCACCAUUCCUGCCAUCAUUUGCGAGAACACCGCCCCCGCCUACCAAGAGGACCACACCAGGCUGCUGGAGAUACCUAGGGAGAAAGUAGCUCGGAAGAGGUCUCAUCUGGUCGCUUACACCACCAUGUUUGUUAUGUCUAUCGGUUUCUCGAUAGUCCUGAGCGGCGUCUGGCCAUACCUUAAGGAGGAGCUGGUACCGUCCUUGUCUAAGACGUCUCUGGGCUGGGUCGUCGCGGCUAACCCUUUAGGUCAGAUGAUAGGGUCACCCAUCGUAGGAUUAUGGGGAAACAAAUCUGGCAGCAUCAGACUGCCUUGUUACAUCACCCUCUCCUUCUUCGUCCUGGGCAACGUGAUGUACUCCUUGCUGGCCAGUUUCAAGGGUCUGGGUGAAUUUGCUCCCUACUACGCCAUGAUAGUCGCCAGGUUCAUGACCGGUGUCAGCUCAGCCAAUAUUGUACUGAGUCGCUCUUACUUGGCGGCGUCGACCACUGUUGAGGAGCGGACCAUCGUCAUCUCCAUCUUGUCGGGCUCACAAGCUCUGGGGUUCGUUAUAGGUCCAGGUAUUCAGGCGGUGCUGACGAUACUCAUCCCAAAUGAGGUAGACACCGGGAUCGAUUGGCUACUAUGGAACAAGUUUACAGCUGCCGGGUGGGUGGCAGGAGCUCUGGGCCUCAUUAACCUGGUGUUAUAUCUUCCAUGUAUUUUCAAGGAAUACAACAUUGCAGAAAAGGAACGUGCCUUACUGAAGGCUUCCAUGGAAAAGGAUGACCAAAUAAAAUUGCCCAAACCUGAUCACCUUGCCCUGAUAGGAAUCCUCUUUUCUUUUUUCACUGCUGUCUUCAUUUAUGUGUUGCUGGAGACCUUGGCUGUGCCUUUCGUUAUGGACCAGUACGCGUGGACGGAGGACAAAGCCAUGAUAGUGAUCGGUGCUGCCCUGAGCGUCGGAGGACUCAUUUGCAUAUUUAUGUUCGCUCUCAACGGAAUUCUCGCCAAAAGAUACGAUGAGAGAACUGUAAUGAUAAUACUGGGACUUGUACCCAUUGUGGUGGGCACCUUCAUCUUCUUGCCUUGGGGAGACGCUCGUAUUCCUAUCCAAACCUGUACAACAGAUAACGAUACCGUAACUACAGAAAUGACCACCAUAGCCACCAGCGAGGAAAUGCAAGUAUACGAUUACGAGAAUAUGGAUCAACUGCUUUUCGACAAAGAUACUGAAGACUGCGGCCCAGGCUGCCCAACGACUCAGAUAUGGUGCACUUACACACCUCAGCUACCCUUGGCCCAACUCAUAGUUGCUUACGUAAUCGUCAUUAUCGGUUAUCCCGUGGCAACAGGUAUCAAUCAGUCUAUAUUCUCCAAGUUGGUUGGCCCCAAGCCCCAGGGCAUUUGGAUGAGUAUAAUAACUGUAGUGGGCAGCUUCAGCAGGGUGAUGGGCCCCGUCUUCGUCUCCUACGUGUACACAGACUUCGGUACUAGAUGGUGUUUUGGUUUUCUGACAAUAUCGAUGGUCUUGACACUCGUGGAAAUGUGUCUGCUGUACAAGCGUCUGAUACCGAUGAAGAUCCCCGAGCUGGGGCAGACACACGCUUACGACGGACCGGCAGCCGAGAAGUACUAACUACACCCUGUGGUACAGUGCUGGACUGUACAGUACAUUAGGAUAUAGAAACCCUGAUGUGGGUCAUUGACCUGUGCGCUGGUGGGCUAAUCCUGUAAAAAAAAAUGGUAAUCUAAUCUCUGUCGUGGUAAGUCUAUAAUUUUCAUCACCCCUGUAUCUACUAUGACCUCACGUUCUCUCCAUGACUCAUAUUCUUAAAAAUUCUGUAACUAUUUUUCCCUUGUAAAUAAUGAAGAGUUAUCACGUCAGUUGCUGUAGAAUCUCGUACAUUUUCUGAGCUUUCAAGUCCGUUGUUCUUGAGCCGAUACAGAAGUCCCACAGUUUAAAGCAAUACUCAUAUCUUCUGUUGCGGGAGAAAUUUUUACUUGUGAACCUUUGGUAAAUAUAAACCCAGAUUUUUUUCAUUCAUAAUAGGACGCGUACCUGAGUGUUCACAUUCACUUGUUCUUAAGGGUAGUAAUAGGUAGGUCACCGUCACAGCCUACCCAGUAGUUGAUUUACUCCCUUGCUAACAUGCACCUCUGUAUUAAUUUUUUCUCGUUAUUUAAUACACUGUUUGUCACUUGGUUGGACUAUCAAAGCUAUAUUUUUAGCUAAACCAUUACUCAUCUUAUACAGUACACAUUUUAUUGUAUCAAAAUUUAGUCUUAAGAGAAAUUUUAUACAUAAUGGACAAAUAAAAAAACUUUCAUUAAAGUAUUUUUAAUGUUAGGUAAACAUAAAUAUAUCACUUUAUAAUAGCCUGGGGUUAUAUAAAAUAGCACAUAGUGUAUUAUAUAAUUCAUUCGGAUACAAAAGCGAUACAGAGUGAAGGUUUCUUAUCAAUUACUGCAAACCUAAAGUACGUUAAUUUAAGCCCCCCCACCAAAAAAUAUACUACGCUAGCAGAUUCUACAUAUAAUCACAUUUUACAAACUUUUGCAUAAUUUGCAAUACUUCUCUGAAAACAUACUAGAUUAUAAAUAAUUAUACUGUAACACAUAAUAACCACCAAUCAACUAGACAAUAAUAACAGCAGACAUACAAAGAAUAAUCAUAACAUUCAUACAAUAGUUGACUUCCAUCUCGUAUAGGAUAAGGAAUAAGUUAGGUUGAUUGGGUCAGAGGAACAGAUGAAAGAACGUGAGGAAGUGAAGAUACAUAGAGAAAUAAAGGAAGAAAUAUAACCCAGAGAAUAGUAAAAAUAAAGUUAAGGUAGACGAGGCUCUCCAUAGUGUCUUCUCUUGUAAACAUAAACUUGGAAGAUUAUUGUGUUGUUGUAUCAUGCUUAGGAAAAGGUAAAUAUUUAUAUUAAAAAUGAAUUAUACAUCUUAA
rnacentral:misc_RNA from 1 species